GUCCGCACCCAGGAUCCAAACCCUGGGCCGCUGCAGCGGAGCGCGCGAACUUAACCACUCGGCCAAGGAGCCGGCCCCUCACAUAUAUUUUCUUACUUUAGCCUCCUCACAACUCUGUGAAGUCGACAUGUUAUCCCUGUUUUUAUGAAUGAAAACUUUGGCCUAGAGAGGAUGAAUGGUUGACCUGGGUCACACAAUUGGUAGUGGCAGAGCUAGAUAGUAGGCUGAUUAUUGAGUAGAAGAUGUGAUGUCAUCCCAUUUCUCAGGUGAUUCUAGCCAAAUUGGUAAAGCAGAAUCUUUCCCAAGGAUGCCCCUGUCCCCCUGACUUUGUGACCCUGUAUCCUUUCUAUGGCAGUCGUGCAUCCACUCAGGAUACCUUCCCCCAAGUCUUUAGGAAGGAAGACCCUCUGUACACCAAUUCUGUAUACAAAACAAGAGGUCCCUCAAAGGCAAGCAGCCCUUCCCACCAGUGACAAGGAAGAGGCUUCCUGAUCAUAUAUAAACUUUAGGUAAGGCGUAUUCUUGCUGUCAGAACUUGGCGUGCAGCUCUAGACUGUAUCUGAGCAUUAAUGCAGGUUGGAGACGUGUGAUAGGAGUGGGGUUAAAAAAUAGGGCUUGAGGCUCAAGCAGAAACGGAAGCUCGCGUCCAUUAGAAGCAAAGUGCUCUCUGCACUGCACGAUCAGCAGUGAGGAGGGGAAGAUGAAAAUCCUUUUCACCACAAAGGACACUGCGGCUUGAAGGAAUCUGUGUCCCCACAUUAGCAACCCUGGGGUCCACCUGCUCAAACCAGAAAACUUGUGAACUUCCUUGAUCAGCUCCAGGCCUCACAGCUUGGGAGAAGUGACCAGUAAGAAGAUGUCAUUGCUAUGCUUUCUGUUGGAAACUAUUAGAAAUUACACUGAACUCCAAAUUCCACUGGAAUGUGGAAUCCAGCAGCCUGGCCAAACUAUGUGUUAUUCUCGUUUUCAUCCUCAUACUCAGGACUGGCUUUGUGAGGAGGUACUGUUGGGAUUCCAGAAGCUUCCUGUUACAACUGGCCACACAUGCAAGUUCAUUGUCUCUGCAUGCAAUUUUCCUCACAGGAGCUAGCACUUAAUUAGUAUUUAUUUUGGAUUCAUUUAAGACGUAAGCUUAGAAUCCUAAUAUAUUUAUUUUUGGAAGGGGCCAAGUUACUAGACAUCUUAUUUUUUGAGCCUGCCUUCUUGAUACCUCGUGCAGUGACCACCAAGUAACUAUAUGCCCAUGUGUUAGAUACUGAUUACAUCAUUUGCAUCACACUCAGUAUUUGGAAUUAAAGAUGUGAAUCUUCUGUGACCAGAGCCAGGUUUGACACAAAUGGAAUCAACUCCUCAUGGAAUAAGAAUCCUGAAAAUCUGGUCACCUGAUCCACUGCAUCUGGAUUGAGUGUAUUUUAACCGAGAAGGAAAUUAAACAAUUUUAUAUAAAAA